rnacentral:tmRNA from 1 species
AUGGAUGCCUGUUAUGGACUUUGGCAUUAAACCUCACCUUCUGGUUUCUGAACAUUACCCAGACAUUGUAGAAGUUCAGGUCAAAUAUUAACCCAGACAAAGGCCCAUGUUUGAGACUGUCUGACUGCAGACGCCGAAGAGCAAGUUCCAAAUUCUUGACAUACUGCAGAGCAUUCAAACCAUCUUCAGGGUGCUGUAGGAAGCAUAUAAAUAGAUCUACCAGUUGCUGAAAUUCCUCUUUUGUUUCAGCAGAGACUCCAAUCAACUGGCUCAAGUAGACCUGCUUCGAUCCGUGCCAGUCCUAUAAGAACAGAAAACAUGGGGGAUGAAUUUUAUUAUCCUUCUCUGGAAAGCGUGGUCCACACCUUUUGUGUCAUAGAUACUAGGGAACAUAAUAGAGUAAGUGCCUGUUUGUGUAAGCUUCAGGUGCUGUGUAAAAUUUGUCAGACACUGCGCCACAACUUGGAUACAGAGCCAUUUUUGUUGCCCCACUUGAGGGAACUAAUUAUCAGACACCUAACACUAUUGGAGAGGUUGUCCACUACCUCCAAAUUUCAGCGCAUACUCGACUACAUGAAGCUAUCCCUUGAGGCAAAUGAUUCAAACUUGUUACAAGACUUGGCCAUAGGCACUGUCAAUUUACUGGGCUGUCAAAGUCCAGAGAUUUUGUCUAUCCCAUAUGACAAAGAUCAGCCUGUACAUGAAUGGUGUGCAUGUUUCCUGACCUCUGUAGACGAGGAAGCCUUGAGAAAAAUAUCUUCUAUGUUGGACAAUAAACACUUUUCUUAUAUGUACAACUUUAAAACAUUCUUAAAGUAUUCACUAGAGUUAGAAACAGCUGCAGACUUUGAUUUAUCUACUGGACUCAAUGUCCUUGUGUAUUGGGUAAGCGUCUUUAAACUGUUCAGUGUUUGUGUCCAAAGUCAGUUUCUGCUGGACAGCCUUGUGGCAUUUAAUGCCCUUUUUAAAAAUCAUGUAAAAGAGUUAGAAGCGAUUGUGGAAUCUGACACAAACCUGCUCUGCUAUAGCACAUCUGUUGUGUGGGCAAAAUUGUCUAACUUAAACCAUCUGCUCCACAGACUUCAGACUAGUAACAACACUUUAGUUUUUGAUGAAAUACUGAUCUGUCUGCGUGGUUUACAAAUUUAUAUAAAAUGUUUACCUACCUUAUCGGCUGAAGGGGAAUCCGAGUCAGAGGCCAUCGCUGCAGAAAUUCCCUCGUAGUGCAGGAGUUGUAUUUUUGAGUGUAGAUUGAAAAGAGUUGUGCUCUCUCCUCAGCCUUUGAAGGGACAUUUCAUGACUCAUGUAGGAGGAGCUACCAGAUUUCCAUAAAAGUGGGAGGCUAUUAUUUCUUGCAGACUGCAGCACAUUGUGGGAUAAUGUGUUCAAAAAUGGACCUUGAAACCCGUGAAGGUGGUGGUUGCCAGCAGGUUUCAAUUCUCAUGGUCACAUCUGACAGAGAAAAGGAACAGUAUGAGAAAUUUAUGAACAUACUUAAGAAUCUUUCAAAUUGUACUGAUAUAUCUCAGGUCGUGGCAGAUGCUAAAAAAAUCUAUGAUUCCAGGGAAUUUUGUUAUGUGCCUGCCCUUCUCACUCUGUUCAAGAAGUUGCCUUCUGUUCAUAAAUGGCCUGAAAAUGAAAACUGUAAUGAGGUGCUAAGUGCUGCCUUCUUUGUGUGCCAGCUCUUAUUUUUUCAUAACUUCCCAGCCUCACCAGCUUUUACAGUGGAUGAAAUGUUUGCAACAGUGGCUGCUAGAUUGAAGGAUCUGAUAGAAUAUUCAUGUGACUGUGAGAACUGUGAAUUGUUGGCUGAAUCCCUGACAAAUUAUAAGUUUUCCCUGGUACCUAUAAAGAUCAGGCCACACACCGAUACCUGUGUCUCACUGAAAACACUCCAGCGGCUACGGACUGCCAUGUUAGGCAAUCCUGAAACCCUGAGUAUUUGGACCCUUGAUGACCUGGUGGAGGACCCAGUAGUCUUCAAAGGCUAUGAAAGCGCAAUUAGGAGAGAAUUUGCUGAGCAUGUCACAUGUUUGAACAUGUGCUGGGUUGUGAAGAUAAUCUUGGACUGCAUGUCUCAGCCAACAGCUCUGCUUCGGGAUUGUAUUCAGAAGGGUGCAAAGAAUAAUGGACUCCAGCUGGACACUUCGAGUACCUGGACGUGGCCAGCAGCACGUAUUGCUGAAAAGGAAGUCAUAGAACAUACCAUGAGUGUUUGUGUACAGGAUAUGACUAGAAGUCAUGAUCAGGAAUUCUACACAGAGGCCUUUAAGGAAGAUCUCCAUAUAGGAUUAAAGAGACUAGUUGCCAUGGUCCUUGGGCAGAAUCAUAGUUGGUUAGAUGGCUUUCUGACAGACACUAUAGUGACAGGUAAAGCAUAGCCUGGGGCAUAGUUCUUUGAUGAAUCAUCAUAAAUAUGAUGGCUAAUGUGGUCCUUUUGUGUAUUAAUGCAGAUAUGUUUAUGUAUCCAGGUGUGUUGCUUGAAAGGUAUUUUGCUGUACUAACCCAACACCACCUAUUUAUCAUGUUUGGAAGCCUAUUAAAAACUGUGCUAUUGACUCUGGCGUUUGUGUCUUUGUCUACUUGUGACUCAAAAAUUUUACCCAAGCAUUGUUGCCAUAUUUCUGCAACCCCUACUGAGAAAAAAUCCUGGAACUUCCUGUCCUCCAUAACUGAGAUAUAUCUUAGUAGUCCAUCUUCGUGUGGGAAUAUCAAUGUGGCCCAGGUGAAAGUGAAAACCAAGACAGGAUACCACUUAGAAUGUGCAAAUGGUUUUGGACUCAUGGGCUUUCUUGAAGCCGUGGUCAGCAGGUUUAGAGACCCCACCCCCGAUGACGUUGAGUUCCUUAAACAACUUAAAUUGUUGCACGAUCAGUUUGAUGAGGUAUUUUCAGCAAGCACUGCCAACAGCUCCUCCUUUAAGGUCGCCGCCUGGUAACCAUGGACACUUGGCUAAAAACGCAUGUGUGGUCCCUGAAUGUUAUGCAGAGAGACUCAGUAAUGGAUUUUCUACCUCAAUCCUGGAUAGACUACUUACAACUCUCCGCGUUUUCAUCCAAGAAGCUUGAGCAGAUUAUGGCUGCAGUAGAAAACAGAAGAAAACAAAAUAUUGUCUAUCCUGAUAGUGAGGAUGUGAUGCGCUGGGCAUUUUCCUGCCCUCCUGAAAAUGUUAGGGUUGUUAUUCUGGGACAGGAUCCCUAUCAUGGGGGCCAGGCCAAUGGUUUGGCCUUUAGUGUUCAUGAAAACUUUCCAGUCCCACCGAGCUUACACAACAUUUUCCAAGAACUUAAAAGGUCAGUGCCUGAUUUUCAAAUUCCCCCUUCUGGCUGUCUUGAUAAGUGGGCAGAACAGGGAGUUCUUCUGCUUAACUGCAUCCUGACUGUAGAUAAGGGACGGCCUGGUUCUCACCACAAACUUGGAUGGGGAUGGUUCACAGACUAUGUCAUUUCUACAAUCUCUGAAAAGAAUGAUAAGUGUGUUUUUAUGCUGUGGGGAAACAAGGCAAUAGAAAAGGAAGUUCUGAUCAAUGGCAGUAAGCAUCUUGUAUUAAAGGCGCAACAUCCUUCCCCCCUGGCAUCUCUUGGUGGCUACUCAUCAAAACAGGCCCCGUUUUUGGGCUGUAACCACUUUUCAAUUGCCAACACAUAUUUAACGCAGCACAACAAACCCUCAAUUUCUUGGAACUUAUAAUGGACCCCUUUAAGAAACCAGUGAGAAUGUUGCCCAUAAAGGGGGCCCCGAUCUCUCGACCAAUAAGUGUUUUUACAUUUGACGUGUUUAACCCCCCGGACGAUUCCGAUGGGUCAUCAACUCCAGACUCAGUGUUUGAGGCGGAGACCAGCCCAGCAAGAACUCCUCCAACUCCCGCCUUGAUUCUACCCUAUGAUUAUGUGAGCAGUGAAGACUCUGAUGAUGAAGCACAAGAACAUGCGGAUAACCGGGACACUAAUGACCAGGUCAGCGAGUCAAGUACAAGUGAGGACUCUGAUUCAGAGUCUGAAAGUUCAUGUGACGAUACCCAGCAGACUUUCGUGGACGAUGAGUCCACCAGCUCUUCUGGCGAGGAAGACAGAGAUGAUCCUUUUGAGUCAAAUGACCAGGGCGCGCAGGGCGGGUCGACCUCUGAGUCUGAGGAUGACCUCCCUGCAAUACUGAGGGCUGCACGCGAGACACAAAGUGACAGCUCUAGUGACAGUUCCGGCAACUCCCAUAAAAAAAGGCGAGUGCAGGAAGAAGAAAGUAGUCGCAUCUUGAAAACCCCAGCCCCCAUUUCUGGUAAUGGAAAAUAUAACUGGCCAUGGUUGGAUUGAAACUUUAUUCAAUAAAAAUUAAUAUACAAGUA